ensembl:miRNA MIR4521 microRNA 4521
UCGGCUAAGGAAGUCCUGUGCUCAGUUUUGUAGCAUCAAAACUAGGAUUUCUCUUGUUAC